ensembl:lincRNA
GCAAGAGCAAAAGGGGAGGAGCAGCAGAGAGUAAAUUUAUUUCCCUCCCUUAUAUUGUAUACAGGCUACCUGCCCUAGGGCGGGUGUAGCAGUCAUACCCGUAAUCCCAGCAUUGGACCAUGGAUCAGUCAAGAAUUCUAGAAGCCUCCUCCAUGACUGCAUGAGGCUUUCUGGGGACAUCUAGACACAAACCGUAAUGCCCAUCAAAGGUGUCACUGUUAAUGGACUGCACAUGACCUCCUUUCCUUCUGGAUGAUUCCUGCGACCAUCCUACGACUCUGUGCAAGAGAAAGGAAACACACUUGGCUUUCAAUGACCAUGUGUGUUUCUUCAAUUCAAGGAGCUGAGCCUUUAGUUCCAGGGGUUUCUGCCUGGCUGAAGAAAGCUGCCAGUUCAAGAACACUCUCAUCUAUUGGACGAGCCCUCACUACUGACAUCCCUUCCAAAGCACAGCCCAUCUUGGUGGGACUUUUGAUAUCCUCUCUGCCACCACCCUUGGGUAUCCCAAGAAACUGUUGUAUGUUCUCCCUGGAUUUUGCUGGAUAUCUUUCCUGGUCUACCAUUUCAACCUCACUGGAUCAGAGAAAUGUUUUCAACUCAGAAGCUCUAUUUAUUUGGAACCACAUCUUAUAAGAGAAUAAAACUUCAAAUCUUAUUGACUUUCUUUUGUGUGGUUCAUAUACUGGCUUCAAAAUAUGACUUUCUGAUGACUUAUACCAAAGGAGGAUUUAUAAAGAUCAAUUAUCAUUUGAUUUAUAGAAGGAAGUCUCCUUUAAUGUAUCCUGUUUGUACUGCCUUUAAGGUACACAUGUGGUGUUGAUAUCACUAGAAUUUUAGGAGAUCUGUCAAAAUAGAAGUUUUAAAACCAUAUGUAUGGCAUAGUUUCCUUUCUUUGGAAAUCAAUUAUAUUGCAAAAAGAAUAAUAACUGUUUUCCCCCUGCCUCCUCCUAAUCCAAGAAAAGAGCGUCCUGAUUCUACAUUCUCCUUGGGAAUUCCAGCAAGCCAAAUUUCAGGGUUUUGGUUUUCUUUGUGUGCUAUAAGUCACUACAAAGAUUUUGGUCUUCAUAUUCUUGAACACGAGAAUCAGCUGCAAGUUGGAGAUGAGUUGUCUGGCUGAUCAUGUUCUCAAAAUGGCAGGCAAAUUAAUCUUUUUUUUUGCUGUUAUUUUUAUGUAAGGCAACAUUUAGGAUAUAUGUAUGUAUUAGUCUUACUUUAGCUAUUCAAAAGACAGGUAUGUAAACCAGACACUGAAUUUGCUACCAAAUGGCUUAUUUAACUAGAAGGAACAUGGAAACUACUGAUUUAAAUAUAAUACUCUCUCACAAGCACACCAGAUGUUUUAUAUAUGAAAUCAUCUCUUGGUGCUGAAAUUUAGAUCUUACUGACAUCCAAAUAUUGCUAUUGCAAGUGUUGAAACGCUCCCAAGUUUAACACAUGUAAGGGAACCAGAUCUUUUCUCCAGAUAAAACAAUGCAAUCGCAAAGAUUAGAUGCAAAGAGCUGUGAUUUAUUUUAGGGGUGGCAAAUGUGUGGUGAGGCACCAAAAAC